rnacentral:ncRNA from 1 species
UAAAAUGCUUAGAUAAGGAGCAGUAGUGGUGCAAUAGCCCGUUAUAGAGAGUUGACGGAAGGUGCAAGUCAGCCGGGCACAUCAUGAACUCGCCUUGGAGCAGCAAGUGUGAAGUACCAGUAAUGCUUGCCGUUUUCCGCGUUAAGGAUGAAUGAAGCGAGUGACAUGUUCACUAAUGUGGGUGGUACCGCGGGAGAUUUAUACAUAAUCCUCUCGUCCCUUUU